UUGAGAACAAAUAUGUGCGGGGUAAAGCAGCAAUGCGCUCCGAGAGGAACCUCUGUCCUAUCAGCUUGUUGGUAAGGUAAUGGCUUACCAAGGCGACGACGGGUAGCUGGUGUGAGAGCACGACCAGCCACACUGGGACUGAGACACGGCCCAGACUCCUACGGGAGGCAGCAGUGAGGAAUUUUCCACAAUGGGCGCAAGCCUGAUGGAGCAAUGCCGCGUGAAGGAUGAAGAUUUUCGGAUUGUAAACUUCUUUUAAGUAGGAAGAUUAUGACGGUACUACUUGAAUAAGCAUCGGCUAACUACGUGCCAGCAGCCGCGGUAAUACGUAGGAUGCAAGCGUUAUCCGGAAUUACUGGGCGUAAAGCGUGUGUAGGUGGUUUAUUAAGUUAAAUGUUAAAUUUUCAGGCUUAACUUGGAAACCGCAUUUAAUACUGGUAGACUUUGAGGACAAGAGAGGCAGGCGGAAUUAGCGGAGUAGCGGUGAAAUGCGUAGAUAUCGCUAAGAACACCAAUGGCGAAGGCAGCCUGCUGGU
rnacentral:rRNA from 1 species